AGUUCAAUCUCCUCAAAUAAACUGGAAUUUUUUAAUAAUGGCAAUACAUUCAUUCUGCCAUUUGGAGGAGCCUGUGCCACAGAAUAAUGAUCUGAAGAAAGCUCACUUAUUUGCAAAGAAGAGUCUUCAUUUGGGAAGUAGUUCCGAUGCAGCUAAGAGGUGCUUUGUCAAGUUCAGCAGAACUAUUAUUGUUUCUAGUAGAACCUCCUGUUUGUGGUCAAAAUUGGGGUUUCCUCAAAGAGAGUCCUGUAUCUGAAGGGUGAGAAGGUCUUUGACAUUCAGUGGGAUGAGAAUCUCAGAACAGACUGACUACUGGGGACUCCCAAGCUACAGUUCAGAAACCAUUUUGGUAGGUGUGGGUUGCUUGUCAGAAAUCCAUUCCGAAGCUUGAAUGCCAGGCAAGCAGGGUACUAAUGAUGGAUACGAAUGGAUAUCUUCAGGAUAACAAUGGAUGCAGCAUCUUCAAAAGCAGUUUCAUUUUGGCCCUGCCGCUGGAUUUGUUCAAAUGGACCUCGAUAGCCAAGGGGCCUGACUGAGUUGGUGGGACUCUGGAUAACUGCAGGUUUCUACUCUGAAGAUCUGAUUGUAGGCCUCCACCUAAAUUUCUAUUUUAUUCCUCUAUUGGCUUCUAAUACAUGAAAAUUAUCCUACAAAAUGGUAUUGUCUUUGAGUCUCCUGCACACCUACUUUAAUAGCAUUCAGACACCAUGUGCUUGGGAUGUUGUCACAGAUUGUUAAAGUAUUUCUGUUGUGUCAUGUACCAAAACCUCAUGAUUGCUGUGACUAUUGUGUUACAUUUUUACAUUCAGUGGCUUCCUACCAAAAAUGGAGAUCAUCACCUGUGUUUUCAGUCAUUGUGGUAUUUCUCUUAACUCAGAUGUGGAAGUCAGAGUAACUGUUGGAACUCUAUUCAGGUCACUUGUAAAGGUGUUAGUAGACUUGGUUUUAUUUGCUGAACACAAAUAAGAUCUACUUUAUUUUAUUUUGCAAUGUGCUGUUUUCUUAGUAGCCUACUACUGCUGAAAGCUUUCAGUAUGAUGAUAUCCUGUGAUGUAGACCAAUAAAAUAAGUAGGAAAAGGCAGUAACUUUUA